CCUACGGGUGGCAGCAGUGAGGAAUAUUGGUCAAUGGACGAGAGUCUGAACCAGCCAAGUAGCGUGAAGGAUGACUGCCCUAUGGGUUGUAAACUUCUUUUAUAUGGGAAUAAAACGUUCCACGUGUGGGAUUUUGUAUGUACCAUAUGAAUAAGGAUCGGCUAACUCCGUGCCAGCAGCCGCGGUAAUACGGAGGAUCCGAGCGUUAUCCGGAUUUAUUGGGUUUAAAGGGAGCGUAGGUGGAUUGUUAAGUCAGUUGUGAAAGUUUGCGGCUCAACCGUAAAAUUGCAGUUGAAACUGGCAGUCUUGAGUACAGUAGAGGUGGGCGGAAUUCGGGGUGUAGCGGUGAAAUGCUUAGAUAUCAUGAAGAACUCCGAUUGCGAAGGCAGUUCACUGGACUGCAACUGACACUGAGGCUCGAAAGUGUGGGUAUCAAACAGGAUUAGAUACUUGUAGUC
rnacentral:rRNA from 1 species